rnacentral:misc_RNA from 1 species
UCCGGUUUGGCACCGGCAGUCCUCCCAGAGUCCUCGGCAUUACCCGGUAGCAACUGGAAGCGAGGGUUGCGCUCGUUGCGGGACUUAACCCAACAUCUCACGACACGAGCUGACGACAGUCACCGGCUCCCUUGCGGGCACCUCUACAUCUCUGCGGAGUUCCGGCGGAUUUAACCCAGGUAAGGUUCUGCGCGUUGCGUCGAAUUGAACCACAUGCUCCACCGCUUGUGCGGGCCCCCGUCAAUUCCUUUGAGUUUUAGCCUUGCGGCCGUACUCCCCAGGCGGAAUGCUUAAUGCGUUAACUUCGUUGCCGCAGGGGUCAAUACCCGCGACGACUAGCAUUCAUCGUUUACGGCGUGGACUAC